UAGGGAAUCUUCGGCAAUGGACGAAAGUCUGACCGAGCAACGCCGCGUGAGUGAAGAAGGUUUUCGGAUCGUAAAACUCUGUUGGUAGAGAAGAACGUUGGUGAGAGUGGAAAGCUCAUCAAGUGACGGUAACUACCCAGAAAGGGACGGCUAACUACGUGCCAGCAGCCGCGGUAAUACGUAGGUCCCCGAGCGUUGUCCGGAUUUAUUGGGCGUAAAGCGAGCGCAGGUGGUUUAUUAAGUCUGGUGUAAAAGGCAGUGGCUCAACCAUUGUAUGCAUUGGAAACUGGUAGACUUGAGUGCAGGAGAGGAGAGUGGAAUUCCAUGUGUAGCGGUGAAAUGCGUAGAUAUAUGGAGGAACACCGGUGGCGAAAGCGGCUCUCUGGCCUGUAACUGACACUGAGGCUCGAAAGCGUGGGGAGCAAACAGGAUUAGAUACCCUGGUAGUCCACGCCGUAAACGAUGAGUGCUAGAUGUAGGGAGCUAUAAGUUCUCUGUAUCGCAGCUAACGCAAUAAGCACUCCGCCUGGGGGAGUACGACCGCAAGGUUGAA
rnacentral:rRNA from 1 species